rnacentral:misc_RNA from 1 species
AGCAGCCGCGGUAAUUCCAGCUCCAAUAGCGUAUAUUAAAGUUGUUGCAGUUAAAAAGCUCGUAGUUGAAUUUCGAGAUCAAAUUGUUGGUCGUGCCUUGGUACGCACUGGCAUUAUUGGUUUCUCCCUUCUGACGAACCAUGAUGUCAUUAAUUUGGUGUCUUGGGGAAUCAGGACUGUUACUUUGAAAAAAUUAGAGUGUUUAAAGCAGGCUUACGCUUGAAUACAUUAGCAUGGAAUAAUGAAAUAGGACGUUUGAUUCUAUUUUGUUGGUUUCUAGGAUCGACGUAAUGAUUAAUAGGGAUAGUUGGGGGCAUUAGUAUUCAAUUGUCAGAGGUGAAAUUCUUGGAUUUAUUGAAGACUAACUACUGCGAAAGCAUUUGCCAAGGAUGUUUUCAUUAAUCAAGAACGAAAGUUAGGGGAUCGAAGACGAUCAGAUACCGUCGUAGUCUUAACCAUAAACUAUGCCGACUAGGGAUCGGAUGAUGUUAAUUUUUUAAUGACUCAUUCGGCGCCUUAC